GCACUUGUAGCUCAGAUGAGAGUGCCGGUCUUGUAAACCGGAGGUCGGGGACUAAACUCCCCCUUUUGCU
rnacentral:tRNA from 1 species